rnacentral:rRNA from 1 species
UAAGUUAUUAAGGGCGCACGGUGGAUGCCUUGGCACUAGAAGCCGAUGAAGGACGUUACUAACGACGAUAUGCUUUGGGGAGCUGUAAGUAAGCUUUGAUCCAGAGAUUUCCGAAUGGGGAAACCCAGCAUGAGUUAUGUCAUGUUAUCGAUAUGUGAAUACAUAGCAUAUCAGAAGGCACACCCGGAGAACUGAAACAUCUUAGUACCCGGAGGAAGAGAAAGAAAAUUCGAUUCCCUUAGUAGCGGCGAGCGAAACGGGAAGAGCCCAAACCAAAAAGCUUGCUUGUUGGGGUUGUAGGACACUCUAUACGGAGUUACAAAGGACGACAUUAGACGAAUCAUCUGGAAAGAUGAAUCAAAGAAGGUAAUAAUCCUGUAGUCGAAAAUGUUGUCUCUCUUGAGUGGAUCCUGAGUACGACGGAGCACGUGAAAUUCCGUCGGAAUCUGGGAGGACCAUCUCCUAAGGCUAAAUACUCUCUAGUGACCGAUAGUGAACCAGUACCGUGAGGGAAAGGUGAAAAGCACCCCGGAAGGAGAGUGAAAUAGAACCUGAAACCGUGUGCUUACAAGUAGUCAGAGCCCGUUAAUGGGUGAUGGCGUGCCUUUUGUAGAAUGAACCGGCGAGUUACGAUUUGAUGCAAGGUUAAGCAGUAAAUGUGGAGCCGUAGCGAAAGCGAGUCUGAAUAGGGCGUUUAGUAUUUGGUCGUAGACCCGAAACCAGGUGAUCUACCCUUGGUCAGGUUGAAGUUCAGGUAACACUGAAUGGAGGACCGAACCGACUUACGUUGAAAAGUGAGCGGAUGAACUGAGGGUAGCGGAGAAAUUCCAAUCGAACCUGGAGAUAGCUGGUUCUCUCCGAAAUAGCUUUAGGGCUAGCCUCAAGUGAUGAUUAUUGGAGGUAGAGCACUGUUUGGACGAGGGGCCCCUCUCGGGUUACCGAAUUCAGACAAACUCCGAAUGCCAAUUAAUUUAACUUGGGAGUCAGAACAUGGGUGAUAAGGUCCGUGUUCGAAAGGGAAACAGCCCAGACCACCAGCUAAGGUCCCAAAAUAUAUGUUAAGUGGAAAAGGAUGUGGCGUUGCCCAGACAACUAGGAUGUUGGCUUAGAAGCAGCCAUCAUUUAAAGAGUGCGUAAUAGCUCACUAGUCGAGUGACACUGCGCCGAAAAUGUACCGGGGCUAAACAUAUUACCGAAGCUGUGGAUUGUCCUUUGGACAAUGGUAGGAGAGCGUUCUAAGGGCGUUGAAGCAUGAUCGUAAGGACAUGUGGAGCGCUUAGAAGUGAGAAUGCCGGUGUGAGUAGCGAAAGACGGGUGAGAAUCCCGUCCACCGAUUGACUAAGGUUUCCAGAGGAAGGCUCGUCCGCUCUGGGUUAGUCGGGUCCUAAGCUGAGGCCGACAGGCGUAGGCGAUGGAUAACAGGUUGAUAUUCCUGUACCACCUAUAAUCGUUUUAAUCGAUGGGGGGACGCAGUAGGAUAGGCGAAGCGUGCGAUUGGAUUGCACGUCUAAGCAGUAAGGCUGAGUAUUAGGCAAAUCCGGUACUCGUUAAGGCUGAGCUGUGAUGGGGAGAAGACAUUGAGUCUUCGAGUCGUUGAUUUCACACUGCCGAGAAAAGCCUCUAGAUAGAAAAUAGGUGCCCGUACCGCAAACCGACACAGGUAGUCAAGAUGAGAAUUCUAAGGUGAGCGAGCGAACUCUCGUUAAGGAACUCGGCAAAAUGACCCCGUAACUUCGGGAGAAGGGGUGCUCUUUAGGGUUAACGCCCAGAAGAGCCGCAGUGAAUAGGCCCAAGCGACUGUUUAUCAAAAACACAGGUCUCUGCUAAACCGUAAGGUGAUGUAUAGGGGCUGACGCCUGCCCGGUGCUGGAAGGUUAAGAGGAGUGGUUAGCUUCUGCGAAGCUACGAAUCGAAGCCCCAGUAAACGGCGGCCGUAACUAUAACGGUCCUAAGGUAGCGAAAUUCCUUGUCGGGUAAGUUCCGACCCGCACGAAAGGCGUAACGAUUUGGGCACUGUCUCAACGAGAGACUCGGUGAAAUCAUAGUACCUGUGAAGAUGCAGGUUACCCGCGACAGGACGGAAAGACCCCGUGGAGCUUUACUGUAGCCUGAUAUUGAAAUUCGGCACAGCUUGUACAGGAUAGGUAGGAGCCUUUGAAACGUGAGCGCUAGCUUACGUGGAGGCGCUGGUGGGAUACUACCCUAGCUGUGUUGGCUUUCUAACCCGCACCACUUAUCGUGGUGGGAGACAGUGUCAGGCGGGCAGUUUGACUGGGGCGGUCGCCUCCUAAAAGGUAACGGAGGCGCUCAAAGGUUCCCUCAGAAUGGUUGGAAAUCAUUCAUAGAGUGUAAAGGCAUAAGGGAGCUUGACUGCGAGACCUACAAGUCGAGCAGGGUCGAAAGACGGACUUAGUGAUCCGGUGGUUCCGCAUGGAAGGGCCAUCGCUCAACGGAUAAAAGCUACCCCGGGGAUAACAGGCUUAUCUCCCCCAAGAGUUCACAUCGACGGGGAGGUUUGGCACCUCGAUGUCGGCUCAUCGCAUCCUGGGGCUGUAGUCGGUCCCAAGGGUUGGGCUGUUCGCCCAUUAAAGCGGUACGCGAGCUGGGUUCAGAACGUCGUGAGACAGUUCGGUCCCUAUCCGUCGUGGGCGUAGGAAAUUUGAGAGGAGCUGUCCUUAGUACGAGAGGACCGGGAUGGACAUACCUCUGGUGUACCAGUUGUCGUGCCAACGGCAUAGCUGGGUAGCUAUGUGUGGACGGGAUAAGUGCUGAAAGCAUCUAAGCAUGAAGCCCCCCUCAAGAUGAGAUUUCCCAACUUCGGUUAUAAGAUCCCUCAAAGAUGAUGAGGUUAAUAGGUUCGAGGUGGAAGCAUGGUGACAUGUGGAGCUGACGAAUACUAAUCGAUCGAAGACUUAAUCA